rnacentral:sRNA from 1 species
AAAAUGAGUUUCCUUUCGACAUUGCUUAGCGGUUUGGGCCUGAUUCCGAAAUCGACAUCCGGUGGAUUCAAGGAGGGAUGGUGGUGAGUUUCACAGCUUGUAUUGAGCAACAAUGGGCCCGUUUUAUUACACGAUCUUGUGGCUAAAACAGGGAGUAUCAAUUAAAAUCUCAUCGAGAAUUGUUCUAGGAAUGUUAAUGACCUCAUGAGGUAGGUCAAAGCUGAAAAAGAAAAAAAGAAAAAGAAAAAAGUAUGGUAGGGAUAUAUAACCCUCAAGCCUCACCAAGAUCCGAGGACCAAAUUAUUGAAGUGGGUUUGUGCGUAGAUGCUGCAACUACCCUACCCCAUGCUAUAUCUUCGGCCCCGUCUCUGUCU